rnacentral:rRNA from 1 species
ACUCAAAUGAAUUGACGGGGACCCGCACAACCGGUGGAGCGUGUGGUUCAAUUCGAGACAAAACGAAGAACCUCACCAAGGUUUGACAUGCAAUCGUACAUUUCCUUAGAAAUAGGGAGAAAUCCGCAAGGAUGAUUGCACAGGUGCUGCAUGGCUGUCAUCAGUUCGUGCCGUGAGGUGUUCCAUUAAGUUGGGAAACGAACGCAACCCGCGUCCAAUGUUGAAUAUAUCAUUGGAGACGGUCCCCGAUUUUAUCGGGGAAGGAAGGAGCGGAAGAUGUCAAGUCAGCAUGGCCCUUAUACCUUGGGCUACACACACACUACAAUGGCGAAAAACAAUGGGCAGCAAGCGCGUAAGUGUAAGCGAAUCCCUGAAAUUUCGCCUCAGUUCAGAUUGAGGUCUGCAACUUGACCUCAUGAAGUCGGAAUCGGUAGUAAUCGCGGAUCAGCAUGCCGCGGUGAAUACGUUCUCGGGUCUUGUACACACCGCCCGU